AGCAGCCGCGGUAAUUCCAGCUCCAAUAGCGUAUAUUAAAGUUGUUGCAGUUAAAAAGCUCGUAGUUGAAUUUCGGGAUCAAUUGAUUGGUCAUGCCUACGGUAUGUACUAGUCAUAUUGGUUCUCACCUUCUAAUGAACCUUAAUGUCAUUCACUUGAUGUUUUGGGGAAUUAGGACUGUUACCUUGAAAAAUUAGAGUGUUUAAAGCAGGCUUACGCUUGAAUACAUUAGCAUGGAAUAAUGAAAUAGGACAUCGCAUUCUAUUUUGUUGGUUUCUAGGAUCGAUGUAAUGAUUAAUAGGGAUAGUUGGGGGCAUUAGUAUUCAAUUGUCAGAGGUGAAAUUCUUGGAUUUAUUGAAGACUAACUACUGCGAAAGCAUUUGCCAAGGAUGUUUUCAUUAAUCAAGAACGAAAGUUAGGGGAUCGAAGACGAUCAGAUACCGUCGUAGUCUUAACCAUAAACUAUGCCGACUAGGGAUCGGAUGAUGUUAAUUUUUAAAUGUA
rnacentral:sRNA from 1 species